CUUGAUCAUUUAGAGGAAGUAAAAGUCGUACCAAGGUUUCCGUAGGUGAACCUGCGGAAGGAUCAUUA
rfam:Ciona savignyi cont_54932, whole genome shotgun sequence.